rnacentral:rRNA from 1 species
UUGCUCCCUGAUGUUAGCGGCGGACGGGUGAGUAACACGUGGGUAACCUGCCUGUAAGACUGGGAUAACUCCGGGAAACCGGGGCUAAUACCGGAUGCUUGUUUGAACCGCAUGGUUCAAACAUAAAAGGUGGCUUCGGCUACCACUUACAGAUGGACCCGCGGCGCAUUAGCUAGUUGGUGAGGUAACGGCUCACCAAGGCAACGAUGCGUAGCCGACCUGAGAGGUGAUCGGCCACACUGGGACUGAGACACGGCCCAGACUCCUACGGGAGGCAGCAGUAGGGAAUCUUCCGCAAUGGACGAAAGUCUGACGGAGCAACCCCGCGUGAGUGAUGAAAGUUUUCGGAUCGUAAAGCUCUGUUGUUAGGGAAGAACAAGUAC